rnacentral:rRNA from 1 species
UGCAAGUCGAACGGAAAGGCCCUUCGGGGUACUCGAGUGGCGAACGGGUGAGUAACACGUGGGUGAUCUGCCCUGCACUUCGGGAUAAGCCUGGGAAACUGGGUCUAAUACCGGAUAUGACUACGGAUCGCAUGGUCUGUGGUGGAAAGCUUUUGCGGUGUGGGAUGGGCCCGCGGCCUAUCAGCUUGUUGGUGGGGUUAAGGCCUACCAAGGCGACGACGGGUAGCCGGCCUGAGAGGGUGACCGGCCACACUGGGACUGAGAUACGGCCCAGACUCCUACGGGAGGCAGCAGUGGGGAAUAUUGCACAAUGGGCGCAAGCCUGAUGCAGCGACGCCGCGUGAGGGACGACGGCCUUCGGGUUGUAAACCUCUUUCAGCACAGACGAAGCGCAAGUGACGGUAUGUGCAGAAGAAGGACCGGCCAACUACGUGCCAGCAGCCGCGGUAAUACGUAGGGUCCGAGCGUUGUCCGGAAUUACUGGGCGUAAAGAGCUCGUAGGUGGUUUGUCGCGUUGUUCGUGAAAACUCACAGCUCAACUGUGGGCGUGCGGGCGAUACGGGCAGACUGGAGUACUGCAGGGGAGACUGGAAUUCCUGGUGUAGCGGUGGAAUGCGCAGAUAUCAGGAGGAACACCGGUGGCGAAGGCGGGUCUCUGGGCAGUAACUGACGCUGAGGAGCGAAAGCGUGGGGAGCGAACAGGAUUAGAUACCCUGGUAGUCCA